AGCGAAAACGGCAAGAUACCUUGU
rnacentral:siRNA from 1 species